CCUUUUGGCGGCUCGGAUGGGAGGGCUCGCGCCCUGCCGGUUUCGCCUAGCGGUUCCCGGUCUGUCAACCUGUUCGAGCCGCCGCCUUC
rnacentral:antisense_RNA from 1 species